rnacentral:lncRNA from 1 species
AUCAAAACAGAUAGAAACAUUUGCCCAGUUUUGUUUGUGUUUUGUUUUCUUUUUCCAGAGACUACUACCAAUCUUGCUAAUGCGGUGUUUCUCACACUAAUGGUCCAAGGCCCAACUGCCUGAUUCACCUGAGCUGUGUGUAUAAAAUGGAAAUUUUUGCCUCCCCUGUCUCACUGCCAGACCUACUGAAUCAGAACCUCAGGGCAUAGAGUAAUCUGCACCGUCCUCAAGUACCCCAGGUGAUUCUUAUGCGCCCUCAGGUUUGAGAAAUCGUAGUUUAAUCUGCAGUGACAUUUUUGAGAAGAGAGCUCUUAGCAAGUAAUUUUGUUGAUCCCUGUCCAUCCCAACAUCCUCUAUCUGUGCUCUCUCUGUCCUUUCUUCCAUGUACACCUCCCAAAAGGAAAGGAUCCUGCUCAUUCCCAUCUCUGGAGGACAGAUCUCUACUAUCUACAGAGAAUUAGGAUAAUGGAAGCAGCAGUAAUUUCCAGAAAGGGAAGAGGAACCAGUACAAUCAAGGUCCAUUCUGAAUUCCAGCAGAAGAAUCGGGCAGAGGCUUUAGUGUUCAUAGCUGCAUUACUAUUGUAUUUCUUCAAUUCUAAGAUGCACAUUUUGUGGCAUUGUAAUGUUUCUAAAAUUGGGAUUGCAUCUUCUAAUCAAUGUACAAUUUAAUAUAGGAGGUUUUACCUCCUAGAAACAUCUUAUUAAAACAAAGAUAUGUCUUAAACUUGAUUGUGUCCCAGAAUCGAGGAAAUAAAGUAAUUAUGCUGCUGCCAUAGCAGACAUGACAGUUUUAAGACAAGAAUAGGUAAGCAACUAGGGAGUAGAGGCCAGGCCUUAGCAAAGCCACCAUGAUGGUCAUAACCUUAAAAGAUCAUGAGUUUUCUAUUAAUAGCUUCAUUGCCCCCAAGCCUCUGAAGCCUGUGGAUACAAGUAAGUCAAACUGCUUGGGCCCCACAUUUUGCUGGUUCUAAACCCUCAGUGCCGAAGCUUCAAGACUUCAGCCCCCGACCCCAGGUCUCCCCAGUGACUUCUGGGAAUCCUCUAUGCUCAGGGCCAGCCCUUCCAUUUGCUUCAGCUCUGUCCUUUCUGCAGAUGCCCUCUCUGUUCCCAGUGUAUCUCCUGGUACUAAAAAUCUGUGCAUCCUCCAGAUGUAAUUUCUUGCUAAAUCUUCAUGCUGAGUUAAG